rnacentral:rRNA from 1 species
GAGUUUGAUCAUGGCUCAGGAUGAACGCUGGUAGUAUGCUUUACACAUGCAAGUCGUACGAGAGUUUUUAACUCAAGUGGCGGACGGGUGAGUAACACGUAAGAAUUUGCCUUUAGGAGGGGGAUAACAACUGGAAACGGUUGCUAAUACCCCAUAUGCUUUCGAGUGAAAUGGAAUUUUCCGCCUAGAGAGAAGCUUGCGGCUGAUUAGCUUGUUGGUAAGGUAAUGGCUUACCAAGGCGACGAUCAGUAUCUGGUUUGAGAGGACGAUCAGACACACUGGAACUGAGACACGGUCCAGACUCCUACGGGAGGCAGCAGUGGGGAAUUUUCCGCAAUGGGCGAAAGCCUGACGGAGCAAUACUGCGUGAGGGAUGACGGCCUAUGGGUUGUAAACCUCUUUUUUCAGGGAGGAAUAAAAUGACGUGUACCUGAAGAAUAAGCAUCGGCUAACUCCGUGCCAGCAGCCGCGGUAAGACAGAGGAUGCAAGUGUUAUCCGGAAUCACUGGGCGUAAAGCGUCUGUAGGUGGUUUAAUAAGUCAACUGUUAAAUCUUGGAGCUCAACUUCAAAAUCGCAGUCGAAACUAUUAGACUAGAGUAUAGUAGGGGUAAAGGGAAUUUCCAGUGGAGCGGUG